UCUUUUUUUUUUUUUUUUAAGACAGGGUCUCUCUCUGUUGCCCGGGCUGGAGUGCAGGCUCCCACACUCAAAUGAGUCAGGCAGGAUGACAGAAGUAAGAUAACUGAAUUCAAAUUCAAAUUCCAGAUUCUUUCAACUAGGGGCUCUCAAAAGUGUGAUGCUCCAGCAUCACCUGGGAACUUGUUAGAAAUGCACCUUCCCAAGAUCCACCCCAAGACAUGUUAGAAACUCUGGGAUGGGGCUCAGCAAUCAGCAUUUUUACAAGCCCUUUUGGGUAAUUCUGAUGCACGCUUUAGACUGCCUAUCGAACUGUAGACAUCUGACGAACAAAUCCAAACCACAGUCUGACAAUGGGUCACCUCUGUUGAAAGUGAAACAGAACACAGCAGUACUGAUUUUUAAUGACUUUCCAGACCCUAGUUCUAGUUCCCCAUGAUUCCUGGUAACCCAAGUCCUGGAGCUGAUCUGGCAGUUUCAAAACAUUUCUUUUCCUUAAGCUGGUUUUGUGGGCUUUUGUUGCUUGAAUCCAAACAAAAAUAAAACUGUACCAGUAAAAUGAAGCAAACAAAAUUUGCCAAAAAGGAGCCCCAGUUCUGCCCCAGUUUUGCCAAAAAGGAGCUGUGAGGCCGUAGAUAAGUUCCUUCUCUCUAAGCUACAAUUCUAUCCCUUACAAAAUGAUGCAGUUGAACUGGAUAUCUCAGGGGCCUUCACCCUCUACUAUGCUGGCUUAGACACUGGCUCCUCUGGAUAACCUCUUGGCGCUACAGAUUCCUUAUGAAGGUUCUCCUAAGUUACUUUAGUUCUACCCAUUGACUCCAGGCAGUUAAAGUAACAAAAACAGAAAAUAAAAAGCACCCAAUUCUUU
rnacentral:lncRNA from 1 species